rnacentral:rRNA from 1 species
GUGAGGAAUAUUGCGCAAUGGAGGCAACUCUGACGCAGCCAUGCCGCGUGCAGGAAGAAGGCGCUACGCGUUGUAAACUGCUUUUAACCGGGAAGAAACCCCAGGACGUGUCCUGGGUUGACGGUACCGGAGGAAUAAGCACCGGCUAACUUCGUGCCAGCAGCCGCGGUAAUACGAAGGGUGCAAGCGUUAUCCGGAUUCAUUGUGUUUAAAGGGUGCGUAGGCGGAGCGUUAAGUCAGUGGUGAAAUCCUGCAGCUUAACUGUAGACUUGCCAUUGAUACUGGCGCUCUUGAGUGCGCUUGAAGUGGGCGGAAUGUGCCGUGUAGCGGUGAAAUGCUUAGAUAUGGCACAGAACACCAAUUGCGAAGGCAGCUCACUAAGGCGAUACUGACGCUGAGGCACGAAAGCGUGGGGAUCGAACAGGAUUAGAAACCCGAGUAGUCC